AUUGAAGCCAAUCCGAUCCAGGUGAAACAGAAGUUGAUAGAUUAUUCCGGAGACGAGGUGAUAUAUAUAUCAAGCGGAAGUCUGUUUGUGUGACUCUGCCUGUAUGUUGUCAAGUUGCAAAUAGCCUGGUUUUAUCAGUUGUUGCUUGAUGAGAGACCAACCAGUUUAUGCCUGACAUUUGUGACUCUACAUUUAAUGCAGUACAAUUGAGAGCUCACGGCAUCAGGUUCAAACCGAUGUUGUGGCCAACACAGAUAGUAGCAGUCAAGACAAUGACUUUUUGGACGAAGAAGAGUGACUUCAUUCAAGGAAAUGAGUUCCAAUAUUGGUGUGACGAGUCCCUUGACUGAAGAAGGAGGAGGAGGACGUCAAGGGAGGCAUGAGCCGGCGGUGGCAGCAUGAGCCAUCACGAGGCAUCGCUGGGAGGCUCCGGGCGGGGGGCAUGAGAGGUGUGACACAAGUCAGGAGGCGAACUAGAGAAGAUGAGUAGAUCGAGAUGGAUCAUACAAGGAUGAAGGGAUGUUAUAGAGCCGUUAGCCGACGGUGCUAAUUUCCUGUGUGUGUCGAUGUCGGUUGCCAUGCAGUAAAUGAAGAGUGCGUGUAUGCCUGUGGCACCCUCCAUUUUCAUAUUUGGAGUCCACACAGGCUGGGUGGCCGAGGGGAAGAGUGAGCGAUUUUUUUGUUCCGCUUUCUUUGCCUGAGUAGGUGUCUGUGAGGACUCCUCCCCCCUUGGUGAUUUUGGUGAUGGUGGUGAG